rnacentral:rRNA from 1 species
UACGUAGGGGGCAAGCGUUAUCCGGAAUUAUUGGGCGUAAAGAGUGCGUAGGUGGUUACCUAAGCAGGGGGUGAAAGGCAAUGGCUCAACCAUUGUUAGCCCUCUGAACUGGGUUACUUGAGUGCAGGAGAGGAAAGCGGAAUUCCUAGUGUAGCGGUGAAAUGCGUAGAUAUUAGGAGGAACACCAGUGGCGAAGGCGGCUUUCUGGACUGAAACUGACACUGAGGCACGAAAGUGUGGGGAGCAAACAG